rnacentral:tRNA from 1 species
GCCCCGGUGGCUCAGCGGCUAGAGAUGAGAGGGCUCAAGCAACAGCCUUGUAAGCUGUAGGUCGCGGGUUCAAAUCCCGCUCGGGGCUCCA